UGAUUGAUAGCUUGGAGCAAGUUGAUAGAGAUAAUGUUGGACAGGCCAAGGAAACAGAAGCCCAAACCACUAGUGAGAGGUCUGAAUCUCAAGAUGAAUCAAGUGGCAGUUCUGGUUCUGAAGCUGAUGAAGAUGCAAGCUCCUUUGAAUAGUUUUGUUGCAGUUGUCCCCCAUUGUUCUGAUGGUGUGCUGUUCUGGAUGUUUUUUUUUUGCAGUCAUGUUUUGAUGCCUUGAUGUAUUUUUUUUGGGUUCUUU
rnacentral:lncRNA from 1 species